rnacentral:rRNA from 1 species
UACGUAGGCAGCGAGCGUUGUUCGGAAUUACUGGGCGUAAAGAGUGUGUAGGCGGUGCUCUAAGUUUGGUGUGAAAUCUCCCGGCUCAACUGGGAGGGUGCAUCGAAAACUGGAGUGCUCGAGGGUGGGAGAGGUAAGCGGAAUUCCUGGUGUAGCGGUGAAAUGCGUAGAUAUCAGGAGGAACACCAGUGGCGAAGGCGACUUCCUGGCCUGUUCUUGACGCUGAGGCGCGAAAGCUAGGGGAGCAAACGGG